rnacentral:rRNA from 1 species
UACGGAGGAGGCAAGCGUUAUCCGGAAUUAUUGGGCGUAAAGCGUCCGCAGGUGGCACUUCAAGUCUGUCGUCAAAGACUGGGGCUUAACCCCGGAAAGGCGGUGGAAACUGAAGCGCUAGAGUGCGGUAGGGGUAGAGGGAAUUCCCGGUGUAGCGGUGAAAUGCGUAGAGAUGCGGAGGAACACCGAUGGCGAAGGCAGCCCCCUGGGCUAACACUGACGCUGAGGCACGAAAGCAUGGGGAGCGAACAGG